rnacentral:tRNA from 1 species
GCCGACGUAGCUCAGCUGGUUAGAGCACAGAACUCAUAAUUCUGGGGUCACUGGUUCGAGUCCAGUCGUCGGCACCA